CCUUAGAGUUUGAUCCUGGCUCAGGAUGAACGCUAGCGACAGGCUUAACACAUGCAAGUCGAGGGGCAUCAUGAGGUAGCAAUACCUUGAUGGCGACCGGCGCACGGGUGAGUAACGCGUAUGCAACCUGCCCGAUACCGGGGUAUAGCCCAUGGAAACGUGGAUUAACACCCCAUAGUACUUUUAUCCUGCAUGGGAUGUGAGUUAAAUGUUCAAGGUAUCGGAUGGGCAUGCGUCCUAUUAGUUAGUUGGCGGGGUAACAGCCCACCAAGACGAUGAUAGGUAGGGGUUCUGAGAGGAAGGUCCCCCACAUUGGAACUGAGACACGGUCCAAACUCCUACGGGAGGCAGCAGUGAGGAAUAUUGGUCAAUGGACGUAAGUCUGAACCAGCCAAGUCGCGUGAGGGAAGACUGCCCUAUGGGUUGUAAACCUCUUUUAUAAGGGAAGAAUAAGUUCUACGUGUAGAAUGAUGCCUGUACCUUAUGAAUAAGCAUCGGCUAACUCCGUGCCAGCAGCCGCGGUAAUACGGAGGAUGCGAGCGUUAUCCGGAUUUAUUGGGUUUAAAGGGUGCGUAGGCGGUUUAUUAAGUUAGUGGUUAAAUAUUUGAGCUAAACUCAAUUGUGCCAUUAAUACUGGUAAACUGGAGUACAGACGAGGUAGGCGGAAUAAGUUAAGUAGCGGGGAAAUGCAUAGAUAUAACUUAGAACUCCGAUAGCGAAGGCAGCUUACCAGACUGUAACUGACGCUGAUGCACGAGAGCGUGGGUAGCGAACAGGAUUAGAUACCCUGGUAGUCCACGCCGUAAACGAUGCUCACUGGUUCUGUGCGAUAUAUUGUACGGGAUUAAGCGAAAGUAUUAAGUGAGCCACCUGGGGAGUACGUCGGCAACGAUGAAACUCAAAUGAAUUGA
rnacentral:rRNA from 1 species